AAUGAACGCUGGCGGCGUGCUUAACACAUGCAAGUCGUACGAGAAAGCCGAAUUUCGAUUUGGCGAGUAAAGUGGCGCACGGGUGAGUAACGCGUAGGUAACCUGCCCUUCAGUUGGGAACAACUCAUCGAAAGGUGGGCUAAUACCGAAUAACACUGCUAGGCUUUGGUCGAGCAGUCAAAGAGAGCCUCUGCUUGCAAGCCCUCGCUGAAGGAUGAGUCCGCGUACCAUUAGCUAGUUGGCAGGGGUAAUGGCCUACCAAGGCGACGAUGGUUAGCUGGUCUGAGAGGAUGAUCAGCCACACUGGAACUGAGAUACGGUCCAGACUCCUACGGGUGGCUG
rnacentral:rRNA from 1 species